CGGGGCUAUUUAUAACUGACUAUGGGCUAAGGGUUUUGCUCAUUGUUGAAGGCUGUAUGGUGACCUAUAGUUGUUAAUUUCUGUGUCAUUUUGGUCUCUUGUGGAGAGUUGUCUCAUUGGUAAUCAUACCACAUCUUUGUUUUUUAUAAUAACUUUUGAGAAAAAAAAUAGCUGUUAAAAUCAAAAUUGCUCAGGCAAAUUAAAAAUUUACCCAUAAAAUGCUCAGAGUUUGAUUCAUCUAAUAAUUUUUUUUAACUUUGUGUACAAUAUCAUAUGGGAUAAUAUAAGAACCAAAUUU
rnacentral:lncRNA from 1 species